GGCGCGGCCCCUGCCUCUGCCGCGCUGGGUGCCCGUCCCGUCCCCUCCCGUGCGUUCCCACCGCCUCCCUGCCGUACAGCUGGAAAUAAACAAAACCAACGUAGAAAUAUAUAUAGCUGUCUCGGCUGUCACACCUGUCCUGAGGAAAGCCCUGUGGAAGGAGCUCGGUGCCGGGAUUCAGGACCCUGAGGCCACUGUGAAACUGCAAAUUCUUUCCAAGCUGUUGCCACCUCCGGGAAGCAAAGGGCUGCACAACCUGAUGGACUGCCUUCCUGCUGCUCCGGAGAGAGCAGGCAAUGAAGAGAGCUGGGCCGUGGCAGAUGCCAUAUCCACGGUGCUUAAAAACUCAGAGGAGCUGCAUUCCUGGAGGAGACAUCUCUUCUCAGCCUGCAUAAAGGGGUUAGUUGCCAUGUACAGCAGCAGUAAAGAUGAAGGCAAGCAAGAAGUGGAGAGGUCCAUGCUGCUGAGGCUAGAGGAAUUAUUGUGUGUGGUUGAAGAAGUGGACCCAGAUGACUGGUGUGACCUUGUGAAGACAGGGCUCAAGUACCGUUACAGAGAUGAAACAUUUCUGAAGGUCCUGAACGUUGCCAUCCAGUUACUAUACAUGAAAGAAUCCUCACUUAGAGCGUAGUCAAGCUCUCCAAACUACACAUGGGGGUCACACAGCACUCUCUAUUUUUGGCAGCCAUCCUGAGGUCAAGAGAAGAAGAUGGCAUGAGCGUCCAGACAAGAGGAUGGCUCUCUGUGGUCUCAGACAGUGUUCCAUGGGAGGAAGGGCAGCCUUUGCCUCACCUGCACAGCUCAGAUGGAUGUGACAGAACUGGUGUGGCCUGACAAGGCAUGAGCAGCUGUCUGUACACUGGAGUGCCUUGAAACCUUUCUCUGUGAGGUUUUGGACACAUUUCUCUUUGGGAUUUCUUGUGACACAGCACCAGGACAGGAGAAAUCAUUGAGCUCCUCCCAUCUUUGCCAGAAGCUUCGGUGUUUAAGCAGCCAGAGCCAAGAGGCUUCAGCACCAGGGGUGUGCGCUGGAGGGCUCCUGGUCCUGCCCACGCUGUGGGGGAGCCAGGGCUGGCACAAGGACUCAUGAAGGUGCUGCUCUGGCACUGGAGCUGUUGCCCUGUGGAGCCAUUUUAAAGGUCUGAUAAUGGAACAUUUUGGAGGCCGUUUCUGGAAUUCCAUUUGUAGCUGGAUCUCGCUCCAAGUGCAGCAGUCCAGGUGAGGGUUCUGACCUCUCCAGACUUGUGUUCACCUUGGUACAGCCUGGGGCUGGAGCAGGUUUUCCAGGGAAGUGGAGAUGGCUGAGGAUGGGUGCUCUGGAAAGCAGGGACCUGCUGGGAUUUGCAUUUGCAAAGCUGCCGUGAAGUUUGUAAAACCAGCAGGAAAUUCUAAUUCCUGUGGUUUUUGGGGAGGAGGUGCAGGUCACCCUGAGAGCUAGAUCAGAACUGGUUUGUGGUAAGGAGUCUGAGGUGUGUAAGUGCCACAGCUGGUAUGAGCUGUGUGCUAAAUGCAGUCCCAGCCCCAGAGGGAGGCUGAUGGGCUCUGCUCAUUGCUGUCCCCAGCUGUCCCCAGCCCGCUGCUCCCCCGUGGAUCUGCUCUGGAUUCGGGCUGUCGGUGCUGGAGCGCCCUGCUCCCUGCAGGGCCCUGCCCCUAACCCACGCAGAGAGAGCCCUGCUGGCCAGAGUGAUCUUUUUUAUUCCUUUAUCCCUGUGCUGUUAGCAAGGAAGGGAUGGGACUGCUCUUGGCCGGGAGCACUCAGUGCUCAGGUAAACACCCGCCUCGGAGCGUGAGGGUUUGCAGAGCGAGCAGCUGCUGCGGCUCAGGAGCAGCCACAAGUUCUUUGUUCCAAGGCAGGCCAGAACUUUCUAACCCCGGGGUUUAUUUGGCUUUUCGAACCCAGCACCUCUGCUCAGUUCUGCCGCACUGAGGGUACUUUUGUUCAAUGCCUUCUGUUGGAACUUGUCAGCUCUCAGUGUAGCGCACACAGCCCCAGCCCUGCCCUGCAAACCCUUCCCCAUCGUGCCCACACAGUUUCUCUCUCACUCACUCGGGGCAGGCUCUUACUGACAGCCACAGAAACAGAAGUUAUUUUAUUUUAUUUUAUUCUUUUCCUGCGUAAUGCCCGUGUCUUGUAUUGGUACAUCAAUCCCAGCUUCUCCCGAGGCUGCAGAUCAAAUCUUUCAGUGUCUGUGGGAGUUUCUGGUUUUCCCAUUCCCAUGUCUUCCCCCUCUCUCUGUAUGAAAAAAAUUUAUUAGUGGAUUUGUUAAGCAUUUGUUGCAUGUAUUAACAUAAAGAAGGUGUUAUCAUUAGUAUUAUUAUUAUUAUUGUAAUAAUAUAAUUAAAAUGUAUACUUUUGUUAUAAGAUUUUUUAAUUAUGGUGUUAAAUUUUAUUUAUUGUUAUGUUUUAUUAGUUAUUCUUAUUUUUGAUAUUUCUUAAAGUUGUACACUUUAAUAAGUAGAUUUGGUGUUUUAGAUAAAUGUAUACAUUUUAUUAAAUUUUUAUAUUUAUAUUUGUAUGUUAAUAAAAUAAAUUUUUUUGUUGGUUUUUUGUAAAACUGCGUAUUUAAUAGUUUUAUAUUUGUUAAAAAGUUAUUUAGGGUAAGGGAUGUCGAAUUAGAUUGUUUAUUUAGAAAAUAUUUUAAUUGAUUUAAUUGUUUUAGUGUUGUUGAAGUAAUAGGUGGUAUAAAAACUGAUGCUACCAUUUUGAUUUUAAGUUUCAAGGCUUAAAAUUACUUUUAUAUUUUGAUUACUAUUGAUGGAUAAAUGACUUUUUUGUUUUAAAUUGGUAGCUAUUUUAAUAUUAAGAGUUAAUAAUGUAAGGGCUUUUUAAUUAUAUGGACUAUUUGUAAUGGUUUUUAUUGGUAUCUUAAGUAAGUAAGUAAAGAAUGGAUUUUUUUGAGUAGUGCUAGAUAAAUACAAAGUAUUUAAACUUGAAACUUUAGUUAAAGUUACUUAAAUGUUUGUUUUAGGUUGGUUAAUUGGUAAAGUGACAUAAUUAAAAGUAAAUAAAGUAAAUAGAGUAGAAGUAAAAUAUUUGAUAGAAUUUCAUAAUUUGUAAGUUACUAAAUAAGAUUUUUAUAACAUUGAUUUUUAUAUUUAUAAAGAAACUUCAAGUUUCUAUAUUUUCGUGGGUGUAGUACAAGAUGUUAGGUGUAAGUUGCAAUUCUUGUGUAAUCUGCGUUUGUAUUUCCAUAGUGUAAUUUGUCUUUGUAUUUACAUUGGUGUUUUAUUUGUGGAGUGGUGAGUGUGUUUUUUGUGUGAUCUGAUUUUAUGUUUCUCAUUGAAAUUUACUUGGGGUUUUGUACUUGUUGAGAUAUAAGUAAACUUUAUGUUUUGAUAUGAGAAAUAAUAAGUUGUUAUAAUUUUUCAGUUAUAAGUAUGAAGAAAUGCAAGAGUAAAAUAAUGUAUGUAGUAAAGAAGAAAUUGAUAAUAAUUAGGAAUUACUUAGAUAAUAUCUAUAAUUAGUAACAUAGGUGAAAUUAUAUAAUUAGUAAGUAUUAAAAGAUUGUACAUACUUUUAGCAUUUAUAACAGUUGAUAAAUGUUAAAUUAGUGGUAAGUUAAAUCAUUAGGUGUGGAUAAUGAUUUUUUAAGUUUAUUUUAAAAAUAAGUUUAUUUGUUAUAUUGUUAAAUUGUUAAGUUAAAAUUAUUUGAAUUUAUUUUUGAUGUAGAAAAUAUUUGGGUUUGUUGUUAAUUAUUUUAUUUAGGUAGAGUUAGGGUUAGGUUAUAGUUUAAAUUUUAAUUGGUGAAUGUUAUUUAAUAUAUUUUUAUAUAAUGUUUUUAAAAAUAGUAGUUAAGAGUAAAAAUGUUAGGAUUAAAGAUUAAUUACAUUAUUUAAUAAUUGGAUUUUUUUAGAAGUUUUUUAGAAUAGAGAUGCUUUGAAUAUAGUAAACUUCUUUUUAAAGAUUUGAAAGUGGUUAUGGACAGGAUUGUGAGUUUGGAUUUGGAUAUUGAGAGUGUGAAGGUGGAGGAAAUGUAUGAGAGAGUGAUUACUUAGUGUGAAAC